CUCUUCAGACCAUUAAAUGAUUAGGGUUGAAUCUCUUUCCAAAAAAAAUAAUCGAAUUACUGAAUUCACCUGUAAGAAAUUAAUUUGCAUCGGAAAAUUUUGCUUCUUGAUGAAUUCUCUUGCAGGUUAAAUUGGGUAUUGAUUGUUUCCGUUGUUUGAAUUAUAAAGGUUUUAUUCAUCUACAGACUCAACUGUUUCCAUCUCUUCAUUGUAAACACUUUUUCUUCUUUUUUUUUUCUGUUUCAAAAUGUUGGUUAAUGUUUAUACACAUCUGAGUCUUACUUGUAAAUCUAUAAUGAAUAUUUCCUUCAUCAGUAUAUUAACAUUUUUUUUUUCUGUGCUUUAAUGGUUCAACCUGAAAUCCAAAUCCAAGGCCAUGUUCUAGUCCUGUUCUUUCCGGUAGAAAAGAAAAUCGUCUACAAGGAAUCUUGAGUUGUUGGAACCUCCAACGCCAAAAUUAGUCCAAAACAAUGAUGAUCACCAGAAUCCAGGAGACAACCUUUUCUGCAAAUUAUGCAAUGUGCCCUGCUCAAGUGCAGUUACCUUCAAAUCAGCAUGUAAAUGGCAGAAAGGACUUGCCUAAACUUCAUGACUCAACAUCCUGUGUCAACCAGGGCAUGAUUCAGGCUCUGUCAAAGCAACAAUUGGGAGGAUUAGAGCACCAGAAGAGACCAGAAAUUUUGGAAAGGUUUCUUUGAGCUGCACUUGAGAGGAAAAAGACAGUUGAAGUUGAAUGAAAAUGGUGAAGCAUCCAUGGAAACGGAGAAGAGACGGUGUGAGGUGUGUGAAGAAAAUGGAAGGAAAGAACGGGGAAAGUCUUGAAAUUUCAAACCCACUUUUUUAUAUCUGCGCUUAUUUUCUCUGUUUUACUAACUUGUUUAUUGAUUGAAUCAGAAGUUCAUGUUCUGUUCUCUUUUUCUAACAUUUUAUAAUAAUUCAAUAACUUUAUAUAG
rnacentral:lncRNA from 1 species